UUACUUAAAGGCGGCUCAGAAAAAAGAGGUUCCAAAACCGAAACCCUAAUAAAAUAUCUUGCUCUGAAAUCAUCUUGUGUUGAUGGCUACUUGGAUUCUCCUGAGAUCAGCUAGAUCUGCUGUUAAAUCUGCUAAUAUAGCUUCCAGAUGCCUGCCUGCAACUGGUGCAAAGGCUUGGACUGCUGCUAUACCAUUGAGUUGGAGAUUGGGGAGUGUGGCCACAAUAUUCAGCUCAGGAUACCCUGGUUGUAAU